GAUGAACGCUGGCGGCGUGCCUAAUACAUGCAAGUCGAGCGAACGGACGAGAAGCUUGCUUCUCUGAUGUUAGCGGCGGACGGGUGAGUAACACGUGGAUAACCUACCUAUAAGACUGGGAUAACUUCGGGAAACCGGAGCUAAUACCGGAUAAUAUUUUGAACCGCAUGGUUCAAAAGUGAAAGACGGUCUUGCUGUCACUUAUAGAUGGAUCCGCGCUGCAUUAGCUAGUUGGUAAGGUAACGGCUUACCAAGGCAACGAUGCAUAGCCGACCUGAGAGGGUGAUCGGCCACACUGGAACUGAGACACGGUCCAGACUCCUACGGGAGGCAGCAGUAGGGAAUCAUCCGCAAUGGGCGAAAGCCUGACGGAGCAACGCCGAGUGAGUGAUGAAGGUCUUCGGAUCGUAAAACUCUGUUAUUAGGGAAGAACAUAUGUGUAAGUAACUGUGCACAUCUUGACGGUACCUAAUCAGAAAGCCACGGCUAACUACGUG
rnacentral:rRNA from 1 species